rnacentral:sRNA from 1 species
UUUUUUUUUUAAAAGCAUGAUGGAAUUUUAGCUGCAGUCUUCUUGGUGCCAGCUUAUCAAUCCCAAACUCUGGGUGUAAAAGAUUCUACAGGGCACUUUCUUAUGCAAGGAGCUAAACAGUGAUUAAAGGAGCAGGAUGAAAAGAUGGCACAGUCAGUGCUGGUACCGCCAGGACCUGACAGCUUCCGCUUCUUUACCAGGGAAUCCCUUGCUGCUAUUGAACAACGCAUUGCAGAAGAGAAAGCUAAGAGACCCAAACAGGAACGCAAGGAUGAGGAUGAUGAAAAUGGCCCAAAGCCAAACAGUGACUUGGAAGCAGGAAAAUCUCUUCCAUUUAUUUAUGGAGACAUUCCUCCAGAGAUGGUGUCAGUGCCCCUGGAGGAUCUGGACCCCUUCUAUAUCAAUAAGAAAACGUUUAUAGUAUUGAAUAAAGGGAAAGCAAUCUCUCGAUUCAGUGCCACCCCUGCCCUUUACAUUUUAACUCCCUUCAACCCUAUUAGAAAAUUAGCUAUUAAGAUUUUGGUACAUUCUUUAUUCAAUAUGCUCAUUAUGUGCACGAUUCUUACCAACUGUGUAUUUAUGACCAUGAGUAACCCUCCAGACUGGACAAAGAAUGUGGAGUAUACCUUUACAGGAAUUUAUACUUUUGAAUCACUUAUUAAAAUACUUGCAAGGGGCUUUUGUUUAGAAGAUUUCACAUUUUUACGGGAUCCAUGGAAUUGGUUGGAUUUCACAGUCAUUACUUUUGCAUAUGUGACAGAGUUUGUGGACCUGGGCAAUGUCUCAGCGUUGAGAACAUUCAGAGUUCUCCGAGCAUUGAAAACAAUUUCAGUCAUUCCAGGCCUGAAGACCAUUGUGGGGGCCCUGAUCCAGUCAGUGAAGAAGCUUUCUGAUGUCAUGAUCUUGACUGUGUUCUGUCUAAGCGUGUUUGCGCUAAUAGGAUUGCAGUUGUUCAUGGGCAACCUACGAAAUAAAUGUUUGCAAUGGCCUCCAGAUAAUUCUUCCUUUGAAAUAAAUAUCACUUCCUUCUUUAACAAUUCAUUGGAUGGGAAUGGUACUACUUUCAAUAGGACAGUGAGCAUAUUUAACUGGGAUGAAUAUAUUGAGGAUAAAAGUCACUUUUAUUUUUUAGAGGGGCAAAAUGAUGCUCUGCUUUGUGGCAACAGCUCAGAUGCAGGCCAGUGUCCUGAAGGAUACAUCUGUGUGAAGGCUGGUAGAAACCCCAACUAUGGCUACACGAGCUUUGACACCUUUAGUUGGGCCUUUUUGUCCUUAUUUCGUCUCAUGACUCAAGACUUCUGGGAAAACCUUUAUCAACUGACACUACGUGCUGCUGGGAAAACGUACAUGAUAUUUUUUGUGCUGGUCAUUUUCUUGGGCUCAUUCUAUCUAAUAAAUUUGAUCUUGGCUGUGGUGGCCAUGGCCUAUGAGGAACAGAAUCAGGCCACAUUGGAAGAGGCUGAACAGAAGGAAGCUGAAUUUCAGCAGAUGCUCGAACAGUUGAAAAAGCAACAAGAAGAAGCUCAGGCGGCAGCUGCAGCCGCAUCUGCUGAAUCAAGAGACUUCAGUGGUGCUGGUGGGAUAGGAGUUUUUUCAGAGAGUUCUUCAGUAGCAUCUAAGUUGAGCUCCAAAAGUGAAAAAGAGCUGAAAAACAGAAGAAAGAAAAAGAAACAGAAAGAACAGUCUGGAGAAGAAGAGAAAAAUGACAGAGUCCGAAAAUCGGAAUCUGAAGACAGCAUAAGAAGAAAAGGUUUCCGUUUUUCCUUGGAAGGAAGUAGGCUGACAUAUGAAAAGAGAUUUUCUUCUCCACACCAGUCCUUACUGAGCAUCCGUGGCUCCCUUUUCUCUCCAAGACGCAACAGUAGGGCGAGCCUUUUCAGCUUCAGAGGUCGAGCAAAGGACAUUGGCUCUGAGAAUGACUUUGCUGAUGAUGAGCACAGCACCUUUGAGGACAAUGACAGCCGAAGAGACUCUCUGUUCGUGCCGCACAGACAUGGAGAACGGCGCCACAGCAAUGUCAGCCAGGCCAGCCGUGCCUCCAGGGUGCUCCCCAUCCUGCCCAUGAAUGGGAAGAUGCAUAGCGCUGUGGACUGCAAUGGUGUGGUCUCCCUGGUCGGGGGCCCUUCUACCCUCACAUCUGCUGGGCAGCUUCUACCAGAGGGCACAACUACUGAAACAGAAAUAAGAAAGAGACGGUCCAGUUCUUAUCAUGUUUCCAUGGAUUUAUUGGAAGAUCCUACAUCAAGGCAAAGAGCAAUGAGUAUAGCCAGUAUUUUGACCAACACCAUGGAAGAACUUGAAGAAUCCAGACAGAAAUGCCCACCAUGCUGGUAUAAAUUUGCUAAUAUGUGUUUGAUUUGGGACUGUUGUAAACCAUGGUUAAAGGUGAAACACCUUGUCAACCUGGUUGUAAUGGACCCAUUUGUUGACCUGGCCAUCACCAUCUGCAUUGUCUUAAAUACACUCUUCAUGGCUAUGGAGCACUAUCCCAUGACGGAGCAGUUCAGCAGUGUACUGUCUGUUGGAAACCUGGUCUUCACGGGGAUCUUCACAGCAGAAAUGUUUCUCAAGAUAAUUGCCAUGGAUCCAUAUUAUUACUUUCAAGAAGGCUGGAAUAUUUUUGAUGGUUUUAUUGUGAGCCUUAGUUUAAUGGAACUUGGUUUGGCAAAUGUGGAAGGAUUGUCAGUUCUCCGAUCAUUCCGGCUGCUCCGAGUUUUCAAGUUGGCAAAAUCUUGGCCAACUCUAAAUAUGCUAAUUAAGAUCAUUGGCAAUUCUGUGGGGGCUCUAGGAAACCUCACCUUGGUAUUGGCCAUCAUCGUCUUCAUUUUUGCUGUGGUCGGCAUGCAGCUCUUUGGUAAGAGCUACAAAGAAUGUGUCUGCAAGAUUUCCAAUGAUUGUGAACUCCCACGCUGGCACAUGCAUGACUUUUUCCACUCCUUCCUGAUCGUGUUCCGCGUGCUGUGUGGAGAGUGGAUAGAGACCAUGUGGGACUGUAUGGAGGUCGCUGGCCAAACCAUGUGCCUUACUGUCUUCAUGAUGGUCAUGGUGAUUGGAAAUCUAGUGGUUCUGAAUCUCUUCUUGGCCUUGCUUUUGAGUUCCUUCAGUUCUGACAAUCUUGCUGCCACUGAUGAUGAUAACGAAAUGAAUAAUCUCCAGAUUGCUGUGGGAAGGAUGCAGAAAGGAAUCGAUUUUGUUAAAAGAAAAAUACGUGAAUUUAUUCAGAAAGCCUUUGUUAGGAAGCAGAAAGCUUUAGAUGAAAUUAAACCGCUUGAAGAUCUAAAUAAUAAAAAAGACAGCUGUAUUUCCAACCAUACCACCAUAGAAAUAGGCAAAGACCUCAAUUAUCUCAAAGACGGAAAUGGAACUACUAGUGGCAUAGGCAGCAGUGUAGAAAAAUAUGUCGUGGAUGAAAGUGAUUACAUGUCAUUUAUAAACAACCCUAGCCUCACUGUGACAGUACCAAUUGCUGUUGGAGAAUCUGACUUUGAAAAUUUAAAUACUGAAGAAUUCAGCAGCGAGUCAGAUAUGGAGGAAAGCAAAGAGAAGCUAAAUGCAACUAGUUCAUCUGAAGGCAGCACGGUUGAUAUUGGAGCUCCCGCUGAGGGAGAACAGCCUGAGGUUGAACCUGAGGAAUCCCUUGAACCUGAAGCCUGUUUUACAGAAGACUGUGUACGGAAGUUCAAGUGUUGUCAGAUAAGCAUAGAAGAAGGCAAAGGGAAACUCUGGUGGAAUUUGAGGAAAACAUGCUAUAAGAUAGUGGAGCACAAUUGGUUCGAAACCUUCAUUGUCUUCAUGAUUCUGCUGAGCAGUGGGGCUCUGGCCUUUGAAGAUAUAUACAUUGAGCAGCGAAAAACCAUUAAGACCAUGUUAGAAUAUGCUGACAAGGUUUUCACUUACAUAUUCAUCCUGGAAAUGCUGCUAAAGUGGGUUGCAUAUGGUUUUCAAGUGUAUUUUACCAAUGCCUGGUGCUGGCUAGACUUCCUGAUUGUUGAUGUGAGUAUGCUGCACUUUGCUGCUUUAUUCAUUGGCAUAUAUGUAAUAGUUCUAGCAAUGGUGCCUGACACAGUGUAGGCACUCAGUAACGCUGUAUCAGCCCAAAUAUAAAUUAUGUUUCUCAUUUCACAGUGAGAGGAUGCCCCAAAACAUUUUUUACCAAUUUAAAUACAUAUACAUUCAUAGAUAAAAAUCAAAUGCCAUCAUACUAUACUUAUUCAUUUAAUUUCAAAUUAAUAUUUAAAAUCUCAAGUUAUGCAAAAUAAAAUAUGAAUUUAGAAAUUUUGCUUUUUGCAUGCUCACAUUUCGCAAAAUAACUUGUAUUUAAAUUUUUCACAGGCAUCUUUGACAUUAGUAUGUUUGUCAUCACUAGAGCCUGUUGAGUUUAGGUCACACAGAUGAAUCAUUAAUUACAAAGAAAUUUGAAAGUCCAAAAAGCAAGAGACACCACUUGAUUUGUAUGAUAUAGAAGCAAAUUGGCUAUUGACCAAGUAGCCAAAGAUUUUAUUGAACUACAUUGGUGUUGAAAUAAAAUAAGAUAGAGUAUAAAAUAUGAGGGUUUUUAUAUAAUUGAAUAUGAGGCAAAUCUACCAUUAAAUGUACUACUACUAUUAAAUGUAUAAAGGCUACAUGCAGAAUUACGUUAACAGUCUCUGGCAAUAAAGGAAGACAAUAAAUAAUAUUUAGAACUACAUAAGUGUGGACAUUACAAACAAUAGAAAAUGCACCAAAACUGUAACCAUUCUUUUAUUUGUAUAAUGGGAUUAUGCAUGAUACUAUUUCUUUUCUCUAUUUUCUGUAUGUACUUAUCAUAGGUUGGUAAAUCCAUAAUAAAAAUAUCUGAUACUUGAUAUAUCUAUGUUAGGAUAAAAGUAUCAAGUCAACACUGCUUGAAUAUAAGGAAACUCUUAAGAGAAAUCUAGUUGUCCUGCAGCUAAUGAUCAUAUUACCCAAAGUACUGAUAUUUACCUUUUUAGAUUUAAGAAAACUAUUAUGAUAGUAUAUGAAACUGAUCAACACUUUGCCUUAAAUCAAAUAUGCUUAUUGCUCAUCUAUUUCAUUAUGAAAGAUACAAAUAUAAAUAAGUCAUUUUUCUAGUCCUGCAGUAGCUUACAGUUGAAAAGUGAGGACAGCUGCGUACACAGUAAGUCGACACCUGUAUUACAAGUGCCACCUCUUUACUUGAGGAAGGAGGAAAGGCUUCAAGAGGGAAGUGGAGUGUGAGCUGGAGCUUGAGAGAUGUGAAUGCCAGCAGGCACAGCUGAGGGAGGAACACGGAUUCGUUAAAACGUUGGUGCAUGACAUGCAGGGUGGGUUCCAGAAACAAGUAGAUAGGGUGAGGUAAGCCUUUGUAAUGGGAUGAUAAGGUAAGAAAGAUAAGUUAGAAAAGAGUCUGAAGAACCUGAGGUGCCAUCCAAGGAAAUUUGGACUUAUUAUUUAAUACAGAGGAAGCUAUUGAAGAAUUACAUAUAGGGAAGUGACAAGACCUGCUUGUUCUUUUAGGGAGGGAAGUUAGGUGGAGGUGAGAAUGACGGAAUAGAAAGGAGAUUAUUUAGAGAUCAAAACACCAAUUAGGAGAUUGCUGCAAUGUCCCAGAAAGAGAAGGCCUAUAUGUAUCUCCUUUUCCACAUUUAGCUACACAAGUCACAUAAAAUUGAAUAUUUUACAACUUCUUUUCAGCCAGUAAAUACUACCCCAUUCAAAAUAUUUUCCUCUGUCUAACUUUUAUCUUUCAUCCUUUAACUUAUGCUUAUCUCUUUUUGGUUCUGUCUUCAGAGAAGGUAAAGUACUACAGGUCCUUAUAUCUUAAAUACAGAAAAGCUUCACAACUCAUGAUAAUUCAGUAACUAUUUUUCAAUUAUCUGUUAAAAAGGGACUUACAAAGCCUAAGAGUUUGGAUUUUAAGGGAACUAUAUGAACUAUAUAAGACAUAAUUUUACAACUCAUUGUUUUCUGUAUUCAAGAGGCUUCACUUUCAAAUUGCAUGUGCAAAAUUAUUUUGAAUAAGUUGUUUUUUGUAACAACUUUCAAUGUGCUUCCCUUAUUUUCCUUAAAAAUAUAUUUUUCAAAUAUAUUAACACCAUACUCUUAAAAGCUAUAUUGCAUAUUUAUUUUUAUUUAUCUGCUUUUGAAAUUCAGGUGUACUUUAGAACAAAAUAUCUUUACUUAGCUUAUAUAAUUUUAAUAAUUUUUCUAUAUGUUUUCAAGGAAAUUGGACACAUGUAUGUCCCCCUGACCGUUUUUCUUUUUCUUUUUAGCUAAGACUUUAUAAUUUUUCUCAACUACAUUAGUCAACUGUAUGAAUAACUAAAGACAACAUUGUUCUUGCAAUUUCUAAUUUAUCAUAAAAUCUCAACUUUUUUAAUUCACUAAUUUUGUCUGACCUAAUUAAUGAUAUUAUGCCCUUCACACUGAAAUUUACAAAAGUCAAAGCUGCUUUUUAGAGGCCUAUUCCUUUUUAAAUGUGUUCAUGCUCAUAUUCACCAGUGGUUUGUAUAGUUUACUUGUGUAUCAAAUGUUACUUUCCAUUUCAGAUCUGCUCAAUAUUAUUAGAAAUGAUACAGAAAUAAGUUUUACAGAUCUGUAGAGGAAGAUCACAUUUCUAUCUCUUUUUUUCUUUACUUUUAAUUUUUUAAAAACAUUUCCUACCAAGAAUCUUGAAAAAAGAGGACAUAUAUGGGCUUAUUUUUUAUAAGUGUUCACAGACUAGUAUCAUUAACUUCACCCUGGGAACCUGUAGAAAUGCAAAUUCUUAGGCCUUUCCCCAAACUUACUAAAUCAGACUCUGCUAUUGGUGUUUUUAACAAGACCCCUGGGUGAUUUUGAAACUCAUGAAAGUUUGAGAAUUACUGAUUCAUUGCAUAGAGCAAGGCUGAACUGUGUAGACAUUUUUACAUGUAAAUAAGAAAAUUGUGUUGCUUUUUCUGUACAGGUCUCACUGGUUAGCUUAACUGCAAAUGCCUUGGGUUACUCAGAACUUGGUGCCAUCAAAUCCCUCAGAACACUAAGAGCUCUGAGGCCACUGAGAGCUUUGUCCCGGUUUGAAGGAAUGAGGGUUGUUGUAAAUGCUCUUUUAGGAGCCAUUCCAUCUAUCAUGAAUGUACUUCUGGUUUGUCUGAUCUUUUGGCUAAUAUUCAGUAUCAUGGGAGUGAAUCUCUUUGCUGGCAAGUUUUACCAUUGUAUUAAUUACACCACUGGAGAGAUGUUUGAUGUAAGCGUGGUCAACAACUACAGUGAGUGCAAAGCUCUCAUUGAGAGCAAUCAAACUGCCAGGUGGAAAAAUGUGAAAGUAAACUUUGAUAACGUAGGACUUGGAUAUCUGUCUCUACUUCAAGUAGCCACGUUUAAGGGAUGGAUGGAUAUUAUGUAUGCAGCUGUUGACUCACGAAAUGUAGAAUUACAACCCAAGUAUGAAGACAACCUGUACAUGUAUCUUUAUUUUGUCAUCUUUAUUAUUUUUGGGUCAUUCUUUACCUUGAAUCUUUUCAUUGGUGUCAUCAUAGAUAACUUCAACCAACAGAAAAAGAAGAUAAGUAUAUUAAAACUUCAUCCUUGCUCUGAAAUAUGAACUAAAUAUUUCAUACUCUUUCCUUUAGCCUCCAAAAUGCAAUCACCAAAAAAAGAAUUAAAAAUUCAGAAAUUAUUUUGAGACAUUUGAUAAUCGAUAAGCUUUUAAGCAAUUAAUAAUUCAGAUAGCAUAUUUUUGAUAUUUUUAGUCUAGAAAUAUGACUAAUAUGGCAUAAUUUAUAUAUUGAAUAAAGGCAUCUCUAUAAAUACAGAUAUUAGCAACAAUAGAAUGAAAUGUGGGAGCCAAUUUUCACAUGAUUACUAAGGUGGAUUUUAUAGCCAGCAAAGAACACAAUUUUAACAAGUGUUGCUUUCAUUUCUUUACUUUGGAGGUCAAGACAUUUUUAUGACAGAAGAACAGAAGAAAUACUACAAUGCAAUGAAAAAACUGGGUUCAAAGAAACCACAAAAACCCAUACCUCGACCUGCUAACAAAUUCCAAGGAAUGGUCUUUGAUUUUGUAACCAAACAAGUCUUUGAUAUCAGCAUCAUGAUCCUCAUCUGCCUUAACAUGGUCACCAUGAUGGUGGAAACCGAUGACCAGAGUCAAGAAAUGACAAACAUUCUGUACUGGAUUAAUCUGGUGUUUAUUGUUCUGUUCACUGGAGAAUGUGUGCUGAAACUGAUCUCUCUUCGUUACUACUAUUUCACUAUUGGAUGGAAUAUUUUUGAUUUUGUGGUGGUCAUUCUCUCCAUUGUAGGAAUGUUUCUGGCUGAACUGAUAGAAAAGUAUUUUGUGUCCCCUACCCUAUUCCGAGUGAUCCGUCUUGCCAGGAUUGGCCGAAUCCUACGUCUGAUCAAAGGAGCAAAGGGGAUCCGCACGCUGCUCUUUGCUUUGAUGAUGUCCCUUCCUGCGUUGUUUAACAUCGGCCUCCUUCUUUUCCUGGUCAUGUUCAUCUACGCCAUCUUUGGGAUGUCCAACUUUGCCUAUGUUAAGAGGGAAGUUGGGAUCGAUGACAUGUUCAACUUUGAGACCUUUGGCAACAGCAUGAUCUGCCUGUUCCAAAUUACAACCUCUGCUGGCUGGGAUGGAUUGCUAGCACCUAUUCUUAAUAGUGGACCUCCAGACUGUGACCCUGAAAAAGAUCACCCUGGAAGCUCAGUUAAGGGAGACUGUGGGAACCCAUCUGUUGGGAUUUUCUUUUUUGUCAGUUACAUCAUCAUAUCCUUCCUGGUUGUGGUGAACAUGUACAUCGCGGUCAUCCUGGAGAACUUCAGUGUUGCUACUGAAGAAAGUGCAGAGCCUCUGAGUGAGGAUGACUUUGAGAUGUUCUAUGAGGUUUGGGAGAAGUUUGAUCCCGAUGCGACCCAGUUUAUAGAGUUUGCCAAACUCUCUGAUUUUGCAGAUGCCCUGGAUCCUCCUCUUCUCAUAGCAAAACCCAACAAAGUCCAGCUCAUUGCCAUGGAUCUGCCCAUGGUGAGUGGUGACCGGAUCCACUGUCUUGACAUCUUAUUUGCUUUUACAAAGCGUGUUUUGGGUGAGAGUGGAGAGAUGGAUGCCCUUCGAAUACAGAUGGAAGAGCGAUUCAUGGCAUCAAACCCCUCCAAAGUCUCUUAUGAGCCCAUUACGACCACGUUGAAACGCAAACAAGAGGAGGUGUCUGCUAUUAUUAUCCAGAGGGCUUACAGACGCUACCUCUUGAAGCAAAAAGUUAAAAAGGUAUCAAGUAUAUACAAGAAAGACAAAGGCAAAGAAUGUGAUGGAACACCCAUCAAAGAAGAUACUCUCAUUGAUAAACUGAAUGAGAAUUCAACUCCAGAGAAAACCGAUAUGACGCCUUCCACCACGUCUCCACCCUCGUAUGAUAGUGUGACCAAACCGGAAAAAGAAAAAUUUGAAAAAGACAAAUCAGAAAAGGAAGACAAAGGGAAAGAUAUCAGGGAAAGUAAAAAGUAAAAAGAAACCAAGAAUUUUCCAUUUUGUGAUCAAUUGUUUACAGCCCGUGAUGGUGAUGUGUUUGUGUCAACAGGACUCCCACAGGAGGUCUAUGCCAAACUGACUGUUUUUACAAAUGUAUACUUAAGGUCAGUGCCUAUAACAAGACAGAGACCUCUGGUCAGCAAACUGGAACUCAGUAAACUGGAGAAAUAGUAUCGAUGGGAGGUUUCUAUUUUCACAACCAGCUGACACUGCUGAAGAGCAGAGGCGUAAUGGCUACUCAGACGAUAGGAACCAAUUUAAAGGGGGGAGGGAAGUUAAAUUUUUAUGUAAAUUCAACAUGUGACACUUGAUAAUAGUAAUUGUCACCACUGUUUAUGUUUUAACUGCCACACCUGCCAUAUUUUUACAAAACGUGUGCUGUGAAUUUUCACUUUUCUUUUUAAUUCACAGGUUGUUUACUAUUAUAUGUGACUAUUUUUGUAAAUGGGUUUGUGUUUGGGGAGAGGGAUUAAAGGGAGGGAAUUCUAAAUUUCUCUAUUGUAUUGUAUAACUGGAUAUAUUUUAAAUGGAGGCAUGCUGCAAUUCUCAUUCACACAUAAAAAAAAAUCACAUCACAAAAGGAAAGAGUUUACUUCUUGUUUCAGGAUGUUUUUAGAUUUUUGAGGUGCUUAAAUAGCUAUUCGUAUUUUUAAGGUGUCUCAUCCAGAAAAAAUUUAAUGUGCCUGUAAAUGUUCCAUAGAAUCACAAGCAUUAAAGAGUUGUUUUAUUUUUACAUAACCCAUUAAAUGUACAUGUAUAUAUGUAUAUAUGUAUAUGUGCGUGUAUAUACAUAUAUAUGUAUACACACAUGCACACACAGAGAUAUACACAUACCAUUACAUUGUCAUUCACAGUCCCAGCAGCAUGACUAUCACAUUUUUGAUAAGUGUCCUUUGGCAUAAAAUAAAAAUAUCCUAUCAGUCCUUUCUAAGAAGCCUGAAUUGACCAAAAAACAUCCCCACCACCACUUUAUAAAGUUGAUUCUGCUUUAUCCUGCAGUAUUGUUUAGCCAUCUUCUGCUCUUGGUAAGGUUGACAUAGUAUAUGUCAAUUUAAAAAAUAAAAGUCUGCUUUGUAAAUAGUAAUUUUACCCAGUGGUGCAUGUUUGAGCAAACAAAAAUGAUGAUUUAAGCACACUACUUAUUGCAUCAAAUAUGUACCACAGUAAGUAUAGUUUGCAAGCUUUCAACAGGUAAUAUGAUGUAAUUGGUUCCAUUAUAGUUUGAAGCUGUCACUGCUGCAUGUUUAUCUUGCCUAUGCUGCUGUAUCUUAUUCCUUCCACUGUUCAGAAGUCUAAUAUGGGAAGCCAUAUAUCAGUGGUAAAGUGAAGCAAAUUGUUCUACCAAGACCUCAUUCUUCAUGUCAUUAAGCAAUAGGUUGCAGCAAACAAGGAAGAGCUUCUUGCUUUUUAUUCUUCCAACCUUAAUUGAACACUCAAUGAUGAAAAGCCCGACUGUACAAACAUGUUGCAAGCUGCUUAAAUCUGUUUAAAAUAUACGGUUAGAGUUUUCUAAGAAAAUAUAAAUACUGUAAAAAGUUCAUUUUAUUUUAUUUUUCAGCCUUUUGUACAUAAAAUGAGAAAUUAAAAGUAUCUUCAGGUGGAUGUCACAGUCACUAUUGUUAGUUUCUGUUCCUAGCACUUUUAAAUUGAAGCACUUCACAAAAUAAGAAGCAAGGACUAGGAUGCAGUGUAGGUUUCUGCUUUUUUAUUAGUACUGUAAACUUGCACACAUUUCAAUGUGAAACAAAUCUCAAACUGAGUUCAAUGUUUAUUUGCUUUCAAUAGUAAUGCCUUAUCAUUGAAAGAGGCUUAAAGAAAAAAAAAUCAGCUGAUACUCUUGGCAUUGCUUGAAUCCAAUGUUUCCACCUAGUCUUUUUAUUCAGUACUCAUCAGUCUUUUCCAAUGUUUGUUUACACAGAUAGAUCUUAUUGACCCAUAUGGCACUAGAACUGUAUCAGAUAUAAUAUGGGAUCCCAGCUUUUUUUCCUCUCCCACAAAACCAGGUAGUGAAGUUAUAUUACCAGUUACAGCAAAAUACUUUGUGUUUCACAAGCAACAAUAAAUGUAGAUUCUUUAUACUAAAGCUAUUGACUUGUAGUGUGUUGGUGAAAUGCAUGCAGGAAAAUGCUGUUACCAUAAAGAACGGUAAACCACAUUACAAUCAAGCCAAAAGAAUAAAGGUUUCGCUUUUGUUUUUGUAUUU